rnacentral:rRNA from 1 species
GACAGAGGAUGCAAGCGUUAUCCGGAAUGAUUGGGCGUAAAGCGUCUGUAGGUGGCUUUUAAGUCCGCCGUCAAAUCCCAGGGCUCAACCCUGGACAGGCGGUGGAAACUACCAAGCUGGAGUACGGUAGGGGCAGAGGGAAUUUCCGGUGGAGCGGUGAAAUGCGUAGAUAUGCGGAGGAACACCGAUGGCGAAGGCAAUCCCCUAGGCCUGCACUGACGCUCAUGCACGAAAGCGUGGGGAGCAAACAGG